rnacentral:siRNA from 1 species
GCCAGAUGAUGGUCAUUA